GAAGUGCGAAAAGUGUCAUGACUUGCAGAUUCCCGAGAGCUGACAAAUCUCUGAAUGCAAAUGGCGGCCGGACAAGACCGGCCAUGUAUUGUAGAGUGUAGAUGCUCCCGCACAUCAUCACGCAUAACUCUCGACUUUGUCGAGUGCGUGGUUCUGCGCUAGUGGUCCGACCGCGAGCGUGAAAUGCAGAGAAGUGUGUGUGUAGUGCCUGUGCUUUGCACUUGGCCUAGACACGCUUGGAUAUGGUAACACAAUCUGAGCGGGGUUGUCUUGUGCUACUUGCGACCUGGCAAUAAUUAUCUACGCUACCUCUUCAUUAAUUAUCCCUUGCAAUCGUUCAGCGAGCGCAAGGAAUAUAUCUAUGAGCCACCUCUACAAUGCAGGAUAACCCGCUGAACUU
rnacentral:misc_RNA from 1 species